CUGAAUUUACUCAGAGCUGGAAAGACUCCCAAUAGGAAAGUUAUAAGAGUAACCGGACCCUGUAUUUCCCUUAUCCCCUCAGAACUGCCUACCAAUGUGGAGAAGAGACCAUACAAAUAUGUACUACAAAGCACAGUCACUGGAUGGCACACUGGCAGUAUGUGCAAGUACAAGAAGCAACACUUACACCAGAUGUGGGAGAAGAUUCAAACACAGUCUGCAAGAAUUAUGAUUAUGGGGAAGUAAAGGAUUGAGCUACCUAGACUGUCUGCAUAUCACGGAUGUUACUGGAACAUGAAUACUUUAAAAUGCUGAUAAAACUCAAG
rnacentral:lncRNA from 1 species